CUGUAGGGAUUUGUUGGGGUGAAAUGAAGUGGAUGUGUGUGUCAAUACCACCAGCCGUUACGAUCAAACCUUCACCGGCUAAGGCUUCAGUAGCAGGACCCACGCUAAGAUUGUUUUUAACGCCAUCUUGCAUGUCYUURUUGCCUGCUUUACCAAUGCCUGCAAUUUUGCCAUCUUUAAUUCCAAUGUCGGCUUUGUAAAUACCGGUAUAGUCCACGAUCAAAGCAUUGGUGAGCACCAAGUCCAACUCAUAAGAGCUGGGGCUGUUGGUUUGACUCAUCCCAUCGCGGAUAG
rnacentral:sRNA from 1 species